GGUUAAAAAGCUCGUAGUUGGAUCUCGGCGGGCAGGGGGUGGUUCGCUCUUCAGCGCUACUGCCCCGCUUUGCCCGUGUGAUUGGCGGAGGUUUCGGGGUGCUCUUCGUUGAGUGACUCGGAGCGCCGUCAGGUUUACUUUGAAAAAAUUAGAGUGCUCAAAGCAGGCUUUUCACGCUUGAAUAUUCGUGCAUGGAAUAAUGGAAUAGGAACUCGUUUCUAUUUUGUUGGUUUUCGGAAAUCGAGUUAAUGAUUAACAGGGACAAUUGGGGGCAUUAGUAUUCAGACGACAGAGGUGAAAUUCUUGGACCGUCUGAAGACUGACUACUGCGAAAGCAUUUGCCAAGAGUGUUUUCAUUAAUCAAGAACGAAAGUUAGAGGUUCGAAGGCGAUCAGAUACCGCCCUAGUUCUAACCAUAAACGAUGCCAGCUAGCGAUCUGCCGAGUUUUUUUUGUAGGCUCCGCAGGAAGCUUUCGGGAAACCAAAGCUUUUGGGUUCCGGGGGAAGUAUGGUUGCAAAGCUGAAACUUAAAGGAAUUGACGGAAGGGCACCACCAGGAGUGGAGCCUGCGGCUUAAUUUGACUCAACACGGGAAAUCUCACCAGGCCCGGACACUGGAAGGAUUGACAGAUUGAGAGCUCUUUCUCGAUUCGGUGGGUGGUGGUGCAUGGCCGUUCUUAGUUGGUGGAGUGAUUUGUCUGGUUAAUUCCGAUAACGAACGAGACUCUGUCCUGCUAAAUAGUUGGGUCGUCCUUCGUGCGAUCCAAGUUCUUCUUAGAGGGACUGGCUGCGUCUAGCAGCACGAGAUUGAGCAAUAACAGGUCUGUGAU
rnacentral:rRNA from 1 species